rnacentral:rRNA from 1 species
UUUCCCUACGGGACGCAGCAGUGAGGAAUAUUGGUCAAUGGGAGGAAUCCUGAACCAGCCAUGCCGCGUGCAGGAAGACGGCUCUAUGAGUUGUAAACUGCUUUUGUACAAGGGUAAACCUGAAUACGUGUAUUCAGCUGAAAGUACUGUACGAAUAAGGAUCGGCUAACUCCGUGCCAGCAGCCGCGGUAAUACGGAGGAUCCAAGCGUUAUCCGGAUUUAUUGGGUUUAAAGGGUGCGUAGGCGGAUUGAUAAGUUAGAGGUGAAAUGUCCGAGCUUAAAUCGGGAACUGCCUCUAAUACUGU